UCUGAGGCCCAGUUCACUUCUGUGAUGAGGGACGAGCAAGGCAGCCUUUGGAGAAGAUGGUAGCUGAUAGAGACCAGGGACAGCAGUGAUGCUAUCUGUGACCACAGGCGACAGCCUCAGACAUCUCCACAUAAAUCCUAAGGAAGCAAAACUAACUCACGUAUGUUGGGGGAAGGAAAAGAGAACCAGAAGAAAAAAGUUAAUGAAAAACAGUACAGAGGUUCCUCAGGAAAAAAAACGGCUUCCCCGGUGGCACAGUGGUUGAGAAUCCACCUGCCAAUGUAGGGGACACGGGUUCGAUCCCCGGCCCGGGAAGAUCCCACAUGCUGCGGAGCAACUAAGCUUGUGUGCCACAACUACUGAGCCUGUGCUCUAGAGCCCAUGAAUCACAACUACUGAGCCCGCGUGCCACAACUACUGAAGCCCGCGCGCCUAGAGCCCAUGCUUCACAAUGAGAGAAGCCACUGCAAUGAGAAGCCCGCGCACCACAACAAAGAGUAGCCCCCGCUCGCCGCAACUAGAGAGAGGCCCGCGUGCAGCAGCGAAGACCCAACACAGCCAAAAAUAAACAAAUAAAUAAAUAAAUAAUUUUUAAAAAUCA